AUGAUUUUCAAAAACAUACGGUUUUGCAGUCAUUGUACUACUGCAAUAACAUUAAAAAAUCAUUACAACUUCAGGAAUAAGAGCUGAUAUGAGCAAAAGUUUAUCACCCAUCUGCAGAGAUUGAAAAGGAGGAUUGUGAACCAGGGGUUCACUUCAGAGAUUCUCUGUCCGUAGUCAACUAUGCCACUAACCCAUAGGGAUAGCCUUCCCUGGUUUUUGCUGCAUGAACAUUAAUUUCAAUUUGCUAGUUGCCAUUGCCUGGUUUGGGUUGCUUAUUUUUGUUAGGUUUUUUUUUGGUUGCUUGGGUUGUGGGGUUUUUUAAAAGUAUUGAAGGGAAUUUAAACAAUUUGUAGUCUUUUCAAGUCACAAAUUAUUAUCUACAGGAAUCUUCCAUUGGUUUGUUCCACUGUUGAUGAUUUACUUAAUUCUCUUAUGUGUAAGAAGACAGCUCAGAAAUAAUCCUUAAAAGACCUUUGCAAAUCUACUGUUUUACAGAUUCAACGUGUUACAAACAAACAUAUUCCACCUGUUACAGCAAUCUGGCAUAUUACUUUCUUGAUACGUGAUGAUACAAUACCUCUCAGGUUUGCUGAGUAGCAAAGAGAAAUGAAACCCUUCUUCUGCAGAAAUUAUUGAGAACGUGCAUGAAACUGAAAAGAAACAGAGCUGACCAAUAAUAAAUUCUUAUGAAAAUUCCACUUGGCAGUUCCAUGAUCAGUACCCACCAAAAGGUGCCUUUUGGGGGUCUGAGUCCCAGCUCGUGCAUCUCACAAGAUGUCAACUGAAUACAGAAUCAUAGAAUAUCCUGAGUUGGAGGGGGCCCGCAAAGAU